rnacentral:misc_RNA from 1 species
AUCCAAAGGAAAGAUUUAAGAAUUGAAGUGAGAAAAAAAGAGUCCUCAUCAUAAUAAUCCUCUCAUAAUAGACACAAACAAACAAACAAAUUGAGAAUAAAAAUAAAGAAAGACUAGAGAUGAACAAGCUUUUUUUUUUUUUUUUUCUUUUCGUUUUCUUCUUACCUUCUAUUUUUUUCAUUUUAAAUUUUUAAUAUGGAAAGGGCAGCCGGGGAACAAAAGUUGAGUUUACAAAUGCAAGAGUCCAAUAUGCCAGGAAAAAUAAACCAAGAACAAUGCAAACGAUCUUUUUAACUGCUUACUUGCGAGCUUCAGCCUUUUUCUGUUCUUUGGCAGCCUUCUCUUCUUCUCGUUUCCUAGCAGCUUCUGCCCUCUGUUGCCUUAUUAGGGCCAAGCGCUCUAAAUCUUUCUUAGCCUGUUCAGUUUUUCCUUGUUCCUGCAGCCUCAUAUAUUGUUCAUGAGCUUUUUGUUUUUCAAUCUCCUCUCUUUCACGCCUUGAGAGUUCGGUUGUUUUCCCAAUAUCAACAUCUCUAGCCUUCAAAUUCUUUGGUUUUACUAAAUUAGGGUUCUCAAUCUCAAUUAGUCCCUGGGCGCCUUUCCGCUUCUCUGAUUCUUCUUCAACUUCCUCUUCAGACUCGUCUUCUAACUCCGCUCUAGCUUCUUCCUGUUCCUGUUUAAAAGUACGAGGACGAGUAGAGGUACCUGCAACUGAGAUAUUUCAAAGCAUAAAAGGAAAUGCACACAAAUUGAGUUAAUAUCACAUGGAAAGUUUAAGUAUCACAUGAAAUAAAACAACACCACCUGAUUAUAAUUUAUCUUAACUUGGAAGGCAAAUUUCUUAACAACCCAUAGAAAACCCAAUCAGAUUCUUCACAUUUCUUGAGGAAACCAUGUAGCAAGAAUCUCCCACCAACACAUCAAGGGAAAAAAAGAAACUAUAAGCUUUUAAUUACUAUAUUGAAAAGCAAAAUACUUUUCACCCCAAAAUUUAAAAUUUACGAGAAAACUUAAUGAAUCUUUGGAGUUACACGCUAAAUUUCAUGAAAAACAAAUAUAUCAAUCACCGCAAGAAAAACAUUCUAUCAAAUCAUCAAUAGCCAUAAAAAUUGAUGAUUUAAAUAGUAUGGGAAAAUUUAAGAGGGUAUCAUAAUCCAUAUGUAAAGACUGCUCCAGCAAUUAAAAUGGCAAUAACAUAAUUCCUUUAAAAAGAAAACUGAAACAGCGAAAACAGAUACAGAUCUGAGAUUAUCCAGAAAACAUAAAAGCGUUGUGACUCGUCUAGGGAGGAGCAUAUUACUGAGUUCUUCAGGCGUGGAGAAGUGGCGAUGGCCGGUAGGCUUGCCCUUGAACUUUCCUCUUCCCAUCUCUCUUCUUCACAGUAGAGAGUGGAGUCUAGCAAGAAAGAAGAGCUUUGUUGUUCAUCAUGGUGUUGGAUAGCCAUCUUCUUCUGA